ACAACUUGCAUUGAUUUUGGGGUAAACGAUGUGUAGGAUAGGUGGGAGGCUAUGAUCUGGUGUCGCUAGGCAUC
rnacentral:rRNA from 1 species